rnacentral:lncRNA from 1 species
UGGGCUGUUCACAAACCUGAGGGAUAAAUCCUGAAAAAGUGUGACGCCAACAAAAUGUAGACGAACUGCGGGAACAGACGCAAGGCCACAGUGGCAGAUCAAAGCGAGGCGGCGAGGGGGCAGGCUCAGCUACGCAUGAUGAGGCACUACCAUAAUGAAGUUUGAUCCUGGUAAAGAACACAGGAGCCUGUAGAGGUCCAAGACCAGAAAUCAACCCCACACCCUGGCCCUCAGCCAGUGAAACACCUGCAGCCAAGAGGAGGACGCAGAACGCUCC